AAUAACCAAAAAUAGUAGCAGGACUAAUAGUUGCGUCAGUAAUUAAACGAACGUCACCACCUCCAGGAGCCCAAGUAUCAUAAACACCACCGAAAUAUGAAGCUUUUAAAACUAAUAACCAAGAUCCUAAUCCUAAAAGGAUUAAAUGAAUACCUAAAAUAGUUGUCAUUUUGUUUUUGUCUUUCCA
rnacentral:antisense_RNA from 12 species